rnacentral:rRNA from 1 species
AACGAACGCUGGCGGCAGGCUUAACACAUGCAAGUCGAACGCACCUUUCGGGGUGAGUGGCAGACGGGUGAGUAACGCGUGGGAAUCUACCCUUCUCUACGGGAUAGCUCCGGGAAACUGGAAUUAAUACCGUAUACGUCCUGAGGGAGAAAGAUUUAUCGGGGAAGGAUGAGCCCGCGUUGGAUUAGCUAGUUGGUGGGGUAAAGGCCUACCAAGGCGACGAUCCAUAGCUGGUCUAAGAGGAUGAUCAGCCACAUUGGGACUGAGACACGGCCCAAACUCCUACGGGAGGCAGCAGUGGGGAAUAUUGGACAAUGGGCGCAAGCCUGAUCCAGCCAUGCCGCGUGAGUGAUGAAGGCCCUAGGGCUGUAAAGCUCUUUCAGUGGGGACGAUAAUGACGGUACCCACAGAAGAAGCCCCGGCUAACUUCGUG